AUGGAGCUUUAGACGCCAAGGCAGCCCACGUUAAGCACCCCCCUACAAGGGACUAAACCAAGUGAAGCCUGCCCUAAUGUCUUUGGUUGGGGCGACCGCGGGGAAUUAAAGAACCCCCACGUGGAAUGGGAGCACUCCUCCUACAGCUAAGAGCUACAGCUCUAGUAAACAGAAUUUCUGACCAAUAAGAUCCGGCAAUGCCGAUCAACGGACCG
rnacentral:rRNA from 1 species